UGUUUUACUUUGUAAUAAUUUUAAUUUUUUUUUAAACUAAAUAGGUUAAGUGAUAAAGAGUAGCUUUUAGCUAAUAUUCGCCUGUUCAGGCAAAUACUGUAAUUUGCAGGGUUUGUUAAAUAAAGACGAUUUAUUACCGAUAGGUAAUCACCGUAGAUAUCCCUAUAUUAUAAGUUAUAAGUUAUAGUUACAGAUAACCUUUCUUUUCUUCUCACGUUGGUACUUGAAGUAUUCAUGUUUUUAACAUUCUGCUAAUCAUCAUAAGUGUUUGUUGCGUUAUUGUCCGACCUACAACCAUACAAGAGACGAACAAUCCACUACAGAAGCAAUUGAUAAACAUGGAAAUGUAUACUUCUGCCUCCUAAUUGAUAUUCUAUUGGUAAGAUGGGAUCCGCACACUGAAUAUAAACAAGAAAAUUUUGAAAUUAAUAAUGAUGAUAAGGAUCGUAUGCAAUUUCCCAGUGGCCUAAAGAUUUCGCCCUAUAAAGGGGGUCCAAAAGAAGCUUUAUGGCUAUUCCCUACUUCCUUCCAACGUUCUCAAACAGGUCGUUUGAAUGGAAAUGAAACUAACUUUAGAUUAUUUGUAGCUAUUUUAAAUUAAAAACUUAUAUAUAAUAAAAGAUAAAUCACU